rnacentral:rRNA from 1 species
UACGUAGGGUGCAAGCAUUGUCCGGAUUUAUUGGGCGUAAAGAGCUCGUAGGCGGCUUGUCACGUCGGGUGUGAAAACUCGGGGCUUAACCCCGAGCCUGCACUCGAUACGGGCUAGCUAGAGUGUUGCAGGGGAGACUGGAAUUCCUGGUGUAGCGGUGAAAUGCGUAGAUACCAGGAGGAACACCGGUGGCGAAGGCGGCUCUCUGGCCGGAUAUUGACGCUGAGGCACGAAAGCAUGGGGAGCAAACGGG